rnacentral:lncRNA from 1 species
AACUCUAAAGAGGUUCAAAAAGUGUCCUAGAGUGUGUAAAGAGACCUCACCUUUAUAGGAGAGGAGAAGGUGCCAUGGGAUAGAUUUUGUGUUUAGCCAAAAAUUUGUCCAAAAAAUGAUAGAUUUUUUUGACCAAAAAUCUGUCCAAAACCAGAAUUUUAUCCAAUGAAUAGUUUUUCUUACCAAUUGUGAACAGAAUUUUGGAGUAUUGUACUUCAAAACAGUCUGCAACAGUAAAAAGCAAACAAAUAAAGGCCCUACACUCAAGCACUCUCUAUCUUUACCAACAAAUAGCUGAAUUUAGAACUCAAACCUUCAAACUGUCCAAACUAUGGAUUGAUACAGCAAAAACAAGACUUAAAAGGUAACCGAACUAAGUAUUCAAACAAACUAGAUUCAAUUCAAUUUGAUUUUGUGCAAACUAACAUGAAGCGAUUGAGAUUACAAACCAUCGCGUGAAACAGAAACUAAACGAGCAUUACUAAACUAUUACAUAUGGCUAAUAACAACUUAACAAACGACUAACUAAGUAAAUGAUUCAACUAAUCUUUUUGAUUUUUCAUGAAACUAGCAUAAAACACUUAACUAUCGACCGGCUAGGUCGGAAAACUGAAGAUUCAAACUUAACAAAUUCGCACAAAAUAGACGAUCAGCUAGGUCGAAGAACCAAAAAUCAGAACUAAUAGACAAUAACGAACUACUCGAUCGGCUAGGUCGAAGAACUAAAAUUCGCAUUUAUAAAGUAACAUGUAAUUAAAAACUAAUACUCAAUUGCACAUAAACAACGGCGAUGUUAAUAGAAAUUAAACCUUUUAAAACUAAUAUUAAUUACAAAAGCAAAAAAUCAGAGAAGAUAAAAAGGAAAUAAGGUUUAUACCAAUCGAGGGCAUUUGACAUUGUUCAAGCCACGAGAAGAUGUCGGGGAUACCAAUUGGUGGUUGUCCGAACCCGAGGCGCAUGUUUCUUUUUGGCAGGCGUUAAACCAAUAUAUUCUCGCGUCUUGCCAAAAGGAAACAAAUGCCUUUGGGGUCGAAAAAAAGAAAAAAAAAAUAGAAAAAGAGAAGUAGUGGUGGCGGGCAGUGGGGUCGCGGAAUUUCGGUAGCCAGAGUUUCGGGUUAAGACCAAUGCCAAAUUAUAGCCCUUGUCGAGCUAUAUACUUCUAUGUAGGCGUUGGGUGAAAGGGGUGGCUCAAUAUUCACGGAUUUAACAAAAAAGUGCGGCUAGGGCUUUCCUAGAUCUAAAUUUCGUGGAUUUUAUGAGGGUUUUGAAGGAUUUUAUUUGAAGAUAUGGAAAGAGGAAGUUGAGAGGAAGAAAGGGUGAAAUUUUGGUGGUGUCUGGAGCACCACCGAAGGUGGCGCACGGUGGUGGCAGUGGAGGAGGGCGGCGGCGGCUUAAGAAGAGGGAGGGGUCUUCUAGGGUUU